GGCAAGGAGCCGCCGGCCCUUGGAGCAGCUCCUCAGCAACUGUUGCUUUUCCUUGCCAGAGAAUCUCGCCCGAAGAAGCCGCUUUGAUCAAUGCACUUGGAUUCCAGCCUUCAGCCUUGAUCAAGGCGGGAGGAGGGACGAGGGAGAGCGAGCACUCGCGGGCUCUUUGGGGACGGCCGGGAAGCGAGGCUGCCGCUCCAAGGAAAGCUGCUUCAAAGUAAGAGGCGGUGCUGCCAGAAUAAGAGUGAAGCGGGCGGGCAGAGGAGGAGGAGGAGGAAGGCUGCUGGGUGCCAGCACUCCAGCUGGGAUGGGGCAGGUCACCAUCCUCUUGGCAAGAGAGGCAGGAGCAAUGUGGUGGGGCCAGGGGAUGUUGGACAGAACUGAUCUUUAAACCAGGCUGUCCCACAGUCAGCCUGGCUCUGGGAUUGAGACCCACACUGUGCUGCAGGCAC
rnacentral:lncRNA from 1 species